rnacentral:rRNA from 1 species
AAUAGAUACCCUGGUAGUCCACGCCGUAAACGGUGGGCACUAGGUGUGGGCAACAUUCCACGUUGUCCGUGCCGCAGCUAACGCAUUAAGUGCCCCGCCUGGGGAGUACGGCCGCAAGGCUAAAACUCAAAGGAAUUGACGGGGGCCCGCACAAGCGGCGGAGCAUGUGGCUUAAUUCGACGCAACGCGAAGAACCUUACCAAGGCUUGACAUACACCGGAAAGCAUCAGAGAUGGUGCCCCCCUUGUGGUCGGUGUACAGGUGGUGCAUGGCUGCCGUCAGCUCGUGUCGUGAGAUGUUGGGUUAAGUCCCGCAACGAGCGCAACCCUUGUCCCGUGUUGCCAGCAACUCUUCGGAGGUUGGGGACUCACGGGAAACCGCCGGGGUCAACUCGGAGGAAGGUGGGGACGACGUCAAGUCAUCAUGCCCCUUAUGUCUUGGGCUGCACACGUGCUACAAUGGCCGGUACAAUGAGCUGCGAUACCGCAAGGUGGAGCGAAUCUCAAAAAGCCGGUCUCAGUUCGGAUUGGGGUCUGCAACG